rnacentral:rRNA from 1 species
GAUGAACGCUGGCGGCGUGCCUAAUACAUGCAAGUCGAGCGAACAGACGAGGAUCUUGCUCUUCUCUUGUUAGCGACGGACGGGUGAGUAACUCGUGGAUAACCUACUUAUCUGUCUGUGAUAACUUCGGGAAACCGGACCUAAUACCGACUACUAUCUCGAACCGCAUGGCUCAAUAACGAAAGACGGUUUUGCUGUCUCUUAUAGAUGCAUCCGCGCCGCAUUAGCUAGUUGGAAAGGUCACGUCUUACCAAGGCAACGAUGCGUGGCCGACCUGAGAGGGUGAUCGGCUACACUGGAACUGAGACACGGUCCAGACUCCUACGGGAGGCAGCAGAAGAGUGUCGUCCGCAAUGGGCGAGAGCCUGACGGGGCAACGCCGCGUGAGUGAUGAAGGGCCGCGGAUCGGAAAACUCUGCUACUAGGGAAGAACAAAUGUGGAAGUAACGAGGCGCUGCAUGACGGUACCUAAACAGAAAGCCACGGCUAACUACGUG